GAUGAACGCUAGCUACAGGCUUAACACAUGCAAGUCGAGGGGAAACGACAUCGAAAGCUUGCUUUUGAUGGGCGUCGACCGGCGCACGGGUGAGUAACGCGUAUCCAACCUGCCCAUCACUUGGGAAUAACCUUGCGAAAGUAAGACUAAUACCCAAUGACAUCCCACGAAGACAUCUGAAUGGGAUUAAAGAUUUAUCGGUGAUGGAUGGGGAUGCGUCUGAUUAGCUUGUUGGCGGGGUAACGGCCCACCAAGGCAACGAUCAGUAGGGGUUCUGAGAGGAAGGUCCCCCACAUUGGAACUGAGACACGGUCCAAACUCCUACGGGAGGCAGCAGUGAGGAAUAUUGGCCAAGGGGCGAGAGCCUGAACCAGCCAAGUAGCGUGCAGGAGGACGGCCCUAUGGGUUGUAAACUGCUUUUAUAAGGGAAUAAAGUGGGUCUCGUGAGACUUUUUGCAUGUACCUUAUGAAUAAGGACCGGCUAAUUCCGUG
rnacentral:rRNA from 1 species